AUGGCUAAUACAUGCGCAAUCGCCUCCUUCUCUGGAGGGGCUGUGUUUAUUAGAUACAAAACCAACCCACUUUGUGGAGCCCUGGUGAUUCAUAGUAACCGAACAGAUCGCAGUUGGCUUCGGCCCGCGAUGGAUCUUUCAAGUUUCUGACCUAUCAGCUUUCGACGGUAGGGUAUUGGCCUACCGUGGCAGUGACGGGUAACGGGGAAUUAGGGUUCGAUUCCGGAGAGGGAGCCUGAGAAACGGCUACCACAUCUAAGGAAGGCAGCAGGCGCGCAAAUUACCCAAUGAAAACAGUUUCGAGGUAGUGACGAGAAAUAACAAUACAGGGCAUUUUAUGCUCUGUAAUUGGAAUGAUGGGAAUCUAAAACCCUUUCAGAGUAACAAUUGGAGGGCAAGUCUGGUGCCAGCAGCCGCGGUAAUUCCAGCUCCAAUAGUGUAUAUUAGAGUUGUUGCAGUUAAAAAGCUCGUAGUUGGAUUUCUGUCGUGGUCAUCCGGUUCCGCCCGUAUGGGUGUGCACUGUGUUUGCCCUCGGCUUUCUUCCGUAGCCUUCCGCUUCAUUGCGYGUUGGUGUUUCGGAACUUUUACUUUGAGAAAAAUAGAGUGUUUCAAGCA
rnacentral:rRNA from 1 species